rnacentral:hammerhead_ribozyme from 1 species
AUCUAGCUGACGAGUCCCAGAUAGGACAAAACUUUCGUCCUUAAU